rnacentral:rRNA from 1 species
AGUGAACGCUGGCGGUAGGCCUAACACAUGCCAGUCGAACGGCAGCACAGUAAUAGCUUGCUCUUACGGGUGGCGAGUGGCGGACGGGUGAGGAAUACAUCGGAAUCUACUUUUUCGUGGGGGAUAACGUAGGGAAACUUACGCUAAUACCGCAUACGACCUACGGGUGAAAGCAGGGGAUCUUCGGACCUUGCGCGAUUGAAUGAGCCGAUGUCGGAUUAGCUAGUUGGCGGGGUAAAGGCCCACCAAGGCGACGAUCCGUAGCUGGUCUGAGAGGAUGAUCAGCCACACUGGAACUGAGACACGGUCCAGACUCCUACGGGAGGCAGCAGUGGGGAAUAUUGGACAAUGGGCGAAAGCCUGAUCCAGCCAUACCGCGUGGGUGAAGAAGGCCUUCGGGUUGUAAAGCCCUUUUGUUGGGAAAGAAAAGCAGCAGGUUAAUACCCCGCUGUUCUGACGGUACCCAAAGAAUAAGCACCGGCUAACUUCGUG